UGGAUGUGGACGGGAACAGAGAAAAAACGUACCCAGACCAAAUCAGAACAGUUCUCUACCUCCAAUCCAUCCUUUGAGUUUGUUUUAAGGGAAAUGUUCCUUUAUUAGAAGACUACAGGUGGUGAAAGGGAGGGGAAAUAUAGAAAGGUUUGUUUUAAAGGCACUGUAACUGCAUGGUUCGCCUCCAUCCCCGUCCCAAUAGCAGGCUGAGGGACAAGCCAGAGGCCACGAGGAGGGCUUUUGGAGCUGGAUAAGUAGGCAAAGCCCUCGCAUAAUCCUUUCCUCCUAAAUGAACCCUGAGCCAGAGAGCGUUUACUUUUCCAGCAUUGUUUUUUUUUUCUUUUUUUUUUAUUGGAGAAGGGGCUGGAAAUUGGCAGUCGGAUAUC